rnacentral:rRNA from 1 species
GACCUACGGGAGGCAGCAGUGGGGAAUAUUGCACAAUGGGGGAAACCCUGAUGCAGCGACGCCGCGUGAGCGAAGAAGUAUCUCGGUAUGUAAAGCUCUAUCAGCAGGGAAGAAGAAAAUGACGGUACCUGACUAAGAAGCCCCGGCUAACUACGUGCCAGCAGCCGCGGUAAUACGUAGGGGGCAAGCGUUAUCCGGAUUUACUGGGUGUAAAGGGAGCGUAGACGGUGCAGCAAGUCUGAUGUGAAAGGUCGGGGCUCAACCGCGGGACUGCUUUGGAAACUGUUAAGCUGGAGUGCAGGAGG